rfam:Anguilla japonica DNA, repeat sequence, TnaSINE1-5.
AUGUAAAAGUUGUGUAAGUCGCUCUGGAUAAGAGCAUCUGCUAAAUUCCUGUAA